AAAGAUGGUUCAAAGGGGUAGAGAAGAGAGUGGGGUACACAGCAAAUGAGAGAAGAAUGCUGAGCUGGAGAAGGGGCCUGCUGGGCCUGCAGAAGCAGUGGCCCAACUCCAGAGGGGCCGGCUGGGGCCUGCUCUGGGCUGCAAAUGCGCGGCCCACAAAAACGUGCAGCCCGAGGCUUCUGAGACAGAAUCUCCCCUUCUCCCCUGAACGCAGCCCCCAGCAGUAACCCACGCUGGCCGCCCGCCGCUGCCGGUCUCUGCUGGGGCUUUCGCACGCCUUCCCCGCCCCUCUCCCC
rnacentral:lncRNA from 1 species